rnacentral:piRNA from 1 species
UAGGUUACUUUCUUGGUUUUA